UCGGGUAUGGUGUAGCGGUAACAUCGCUGACUCUCAUUCCUCGCCAGUCGAAGAAGAGUCCUCAGCAGCCCGGGGUUCGACUCCCCGUAUCCGAG